AAUCCACGCGGGCGAAGCUGCGGGCAUCAGCUAGUAUGUUAUGCAUUACGUAUGGAGAGUAUAUUAUAGUAAUACACUUAGUCCAGAAACUACAGUAGUUUACUGUUUAAUGUACAGGGCAGUAUUUUGUUCAUAAAACGUAAAAAUAGCUCCAGAAACU